UUAUAAAUUAUUUAUAAGAGAUAAUAACUUCUUCUCUUACUUUAUAAAAUCAUUUAUUAGGAUUUAUGAAGUUAUUUAUAAUGACUUUAAAUUUCAGUGAAAUUAUUUAAUUAACUUGAGGAUAUUCCGACCACAUGGAAAGACUUAGACUAAUCUCUAAGUGAAGGUGCAACUCAUGAACAAAAAUAUUUUUCCGGUAUUUAGAUGUGCCGAAAAUAAAGGUACAUAUCCAUGUUGAAGUCCAUGAAUAAUGAGACUUAGUUUCACGCAGCAUGUCGAUCGAACCAGUUAGCAUUUCAAAUUAUUCUUCUUCCCACUC
rnacentral:lncRNA from 1 species